GAGUUUGAUUAUGGCUCAGGAUGAACGCUAGCGGGAGGCCUAACACAUGCAAGCCGAGCGGGAUUUGUUGGUUAGCUUGCUAACUAAUAAUGAGAGCGGCGUACGGGUGCGUAACACGUGUGCAACCUGCCUUUAUCUGGGGGAUAGCCUUUCGAAUGGAAGAUUAAUACCCCAUAAUAUAUUAAUUGGCAUCAAUUGAUAUUGAAAGCUCCGGCGGAUAGAGAUGGGCACGCGUAAGAUUAGCUAGUUGGUGAGGUAACGGCUCACCAAGGCUGCGAUCUUUAGGGGGCCUGAGAGGGUGAUCCCCCACACUGGUACUGAGACACGGACCAGACUCCUACGGGAGGCAGCAGUGAGGAAUAUUGGACAAUGGGUGAGAGCCUGAUCCAGCCAUCCCGCGUGAAGGACUAAGGACCUAUGGUUUGUAAACUUCUUUUAUACAGGGAUAAACCUACUCUCGUGAGGGUAGNUGAAGGUACUGUAUGAAUAAGCACC
rnacentral:rRNA from 1 species